AAAUUGAAGAGUUUGAUCAUGGCUCAGAUUGAACGCUGGCGGCAGGCCUAACACAUGCAAGUCGAGCGGUAGCACAGAGAGCUUGCUCUCGGGUGACGAGCGGCGGACGGGUGAGUAAUGUCUGGGAAACUGCCUGAUGGAGGGGGAUAACUACUGGAAACGGUAGCUAAUACCGCAUAACGUCGCAAGACCAAAGUGGGGGACCUUCGGGCCUCAUGCCAUCAGAUGUGCCCAGAUGGGAUUAGCUAGUAGGUGGGGUAACGGCUCACCUAGGCGACGAUCCCUAGCUGGUCUGAGAGGAUGACCAGCCACACUGGAACUGAGACACGGUCCAGACUCCUACGGGAGGCAGCAGUGGGGAAUAUUGCACAAUGGGCGCAAGCCUGAUGCAGCCAUGCCGCGUGUGUGAAGAAGGCCUUCGGGUUGUAAAGCACUUUCAGCGGGGAGGAAGGCGNAAGGUUAAUANNNNNNCGAUUGACGUUACCCGCAGAAGAAGCACCGGCUAACUCCGUGCCAGCAGCCGCGGUAAUACGGAGGGUGCAAGCGUUAAUCGGAAUUACUGGGCGUAAAGCGCACGCAGGCGGUCUGUCAAGUCGGAUGUGAAAUCCCCGGGCUCAACCUGGGAACUGCAUUCGAAACUGGCAGGCUAGAGUCUUGUAGAGGGGGGUAGAAUUCCAGGUGUAGCGGUGAAAUGCGUAGAGAUCUGGAGGAAUACCGGUGGCGAAGGCGGCCCCCUGGACAAAGACUGACGCUCAGGUGCGAAAGCGUGGGGAGCAAACAGGAUUAGAUACCCUGGUAGUCCACGCCGUAAACGAUGUCGAUUUGGAGGUUGUGCCCUUGAGGCGUGGCUUCCGGAGCUAACGCGUUAAAUCGACCGCCUGGGGAGUACGGCCGCAAGGUUAAAACUCAAAUGAAUUGACGGGGGCCCGCACAAGCGGUGGAGCAUGUGGUUUAAUUCGAUGCAACGCGAAGAACCUUACCUGGUCUUGACAUCCACAGAACUUUCCAGAGAUGGAUUGGUGCCUUCGGGAACUGUGAGACAGGUGCUGCAUGGCUGUCGUCAGCUCGUGUUGUGAAAUGUUGGGUUAAGUCCCGCAACGAGCGCAACCCUUAUCCUUUGUUGCCAGCGGUNCGGCCGGGAACUCAAAGGAGACUGCCAGUGAUAAACUGGAGGAAGGUGGGGAUGACGUCAAGUCAUCAUGGCCCUUACGACCAGGGCUACACACGUGCUACAAUGGCAUAUACAAAGAGAAGCGACCUCGCGAGAGCAAGCGGACCUCAUAAAGUAUGUCGUAGUCCGGAUUGGAGUCUGCAACUCGACUCCAUGAAGUCGGAAUCGCUAGUAAUCGUAGAUCAGAAUGCUACGGUGAAUACGUUCCCGGGCCUUGUACACACCGCCCGUCACACCAUGGGAGUGGGUUGCAAAAGAAGUAGGUAGCUUAACCUUCGGGAGGGCGCUUACCACUUUGUGAUUCAUGACUGGGGUGAAGUCGUAACAAGGUAACCGUAGGGGAACCUGCGGUUGGAUCACCUCCUUA
rnacentral:rRNA from 1 species